AUAGCAUUCUAUAUAUACAUAUACAUAUAUAUAUCAACUCUAUACAUUCUAUACUAGGACAUAACUGAGAACAGUGAAAUGUAACAGUUUCGCGGUAGUUAUGCUGACUGUGAAUUUAAAAUAAAACUAAAAUGGGCAAACGUUUCGAGAGUAACUUUAUCAUAACAUCUCAUCCUCUUUAUGCUUUGACCUUAAUUAAAUAUCAAUAAUAAUAAUACUAAUAAUAAUGGCUGAACAUCUUGUGCAUAAAAAAAGAGAAAUUUCUUUUUUACUUUCGUGACAAGAAAAAAAUUUCAUUAUUUAAGAAUGGAUUUUUUAUUGAGAUAAACAUUAAGAGAUGGGAGUUCUUGGCAAAGUAAUCACGUAUUUUUUUUUUUUAUCUUUUAAAUGAUAAGAUAGUCACGAAGAAGUAGAGAUGAUUUUUAAAAUAAAAGUAAAAGAACUAUGUAUAUAAAUCAAAAAAGGUAUUUCUCAUAUUUAUUAGACGUAAAAAAUUGCCAGUUUAUUUUUCGGGUGAGAGAUUUAAAAAAAAAAAGAAAUUUUUUUAACGAGUCGCUGGUACACUAACGGGAAAACUUGAUGAUAAAUCGGGGCAGUAAAAAUUGUUGGAGUUCAAACUUUAUUCACUCAUGGAAAAGGAAUCUAUUCGAUAUCUAGGCUCGGAAAGCGUCAAAUAAUUAUUAUAGAAGCCUAAAAGUGUUUGAAAUAAAUAGAAAAUUUAAUAAACUGAUCAUUUGUAAGGAGAAAAAAAAUUAAAAUUUUCGAUAAUUAUGUUAUUUUUGUAUUAUUGAGAACCAGAAUUUCGAUUUUAAUAUGCACAAAAAUAUCCAGAAAUGUUUUAAGGCACCAGAGACAGAAUAAAUUGAAUAAAAAAUGAGUGAGCUCGUAAGAAGAUAAACGAAUCAAACUUUCAUCAAUAUAAAUUAUUUUUUUUUUAAAGAAUUAAAUCAAUGUUUAGGCUUGAAAAUAAACAAAUGAUUAUUGAAGCCUCUAAAUACUUAAAAUGAAAAAAAUAAAUAAAUUGAUGAGUUUUGAAGAUACCCAAAUUUUGUUGCGUAAACAUCAAAAUUUCUUAUCUUUAUAUUAUUUUUGUAUUAUUGAAGACCAGAAUCUAGUUAUGAGGCUACAAAAUAAAUAUAUGUAUAUAUAAAUGUUUAGGGCACUAGAACACUGAGAAUUAAAUUAUGCCCUACAUUCGUAAAGAAAAAAAAUUUAAUUUCUGGUAAUUAUACUUUUUUUUUUAUAACUUCUGCGUUUAAAGUUCAAUAUUCGAGCGUCAUGUAGUGGGAGUGAAAUAGGUCUUUCUCUCGAUAAUUGACGAAACUAUAGAACGAUAUCGAGAAAAAUCAGCUGUUUCACUUUUCAGCAUGAUUUUACUGUGCUGAAAAGUAAUUUUCUAUAGGAAUUAUAUACAAAUCAGGAAGCGACCAUCAUUCACUCUAGACAGAAAGAGAUAGAGAAAAUCAUCUCCCUGUAUACUCGUAUCACCUUGUUUAUUUAUUCGCGCACGUAACUCAAAAAUAAACUAAAAUAAAAAUACUCUUUUGUACUGAUAAAUAUUUUAAAAAAAUGAUGUUACUAAAUUUUUAUUUAAAUGUAACUCAUAGAUAAAUAAAAAAAUGUGAAACUGAAUCGAAAAACAAAACAUAUAGGGUAUAGAAGUAUGGUAUACCAUUUGUGGCC